GACGAACGCUGGCGGCGUGCUUAACACAUGCAAGUCGAACGGAAAGGCCCUGCUUGCAGGGUGCUCGAGUGGCGAACGGGUGAGUAACACGUGGGUGAUCUGCCCCUUACUUUGGGAUAAGCCUGGGAAACUGGGUCUAAUACGGGAUGGGACCAUGCUGUAGGUGGUGUGGUGGAAAGAUUAGUUUCGGUAAGGGAUGAGCUCGCGGCCUAUCAGCUUGUUGGUGGGGUAAUGGCCUACCAAGGCGUCGACGGGUAGCCGGCCUGAGAGGGUGGACGGCCACAUUGGGACUGAGAUACGGCCCAGACUCCUACGGAGGCAGCAGUGGGGAAUAUUGCGCAAUAGGCGCAAGCCUGAUGCAGCGACGCCGCGUGGGGGGUGACGGCCUUCGGGUUGUAAACUCCUUUCAGCCAUGACGAAGCCCUUGUGGUGACGGUAGUGGUAGAAGAAGCACCGGCUAACUACGUG
rnacentral:rRNA from 1 species